rnacentral:rRNA from 1 species
GACGAACGCUGGCGGCGUGCUUAACACAUGCAAGUCGAACGGAAAGGCCCUGGUUUUGUGGGGUGCUCGAGUGGCGAAGGGGUGAGUAACACGUGAGUAACCUGCCCCUGACUUAGGGAUAUCUUCAGGAAACUGGGGCUCAUACCGGGUAGGAGCUCUUGCUGCAUGGGGGGGGUUGGUAAGAUUCGGUUGUUGGGGAUGGAAGCGCUGCUUAUCAGCUUGUUGGUGGGGUAGUGGCUUACCAAGGCUUUGACGGGUAGCGGGCCUGGGAGGGUGACCGGCCACAUUAGGACGGGGAUACGGCCCAGACUCGAACGGGAGGCAACGGUGGGGAGUAUUGCACAAUGGGCGGAAGCCUGAUGCAGCGACGCCGCGUGCGGGAUAACGUGCUUCGGGUUGUAAACCGCUUUCGCCUGUGACGAAGCGAUAGUGACGGUAAUGGGUAAAGAAGCACCGGCUAACUACGUG